GGGAGACUUGAGUGCAGAAGAGGAGAGUGGAACUCCAUGUGUAGCGGUGAAAUGCGUAGAUAUAUGGAAGAACACCAGUGGCGAAGGCGGCUGUCUGGUCUGUAACUGACGCUGAGGCUCGAAAGCGUGGGUAGCAAACAGGAUUAGAUACCCUGGUAGUCCACGCCGUAAACGAUGAGUGCUAAGUGUUGGAGGGUUUCCGCCCUUCAGUGCUGCAGCUAACGCAUUAAGCACUCCGCCUGGGGAGUACGACCGCAAGGUUGAAACUCAAAGGAAUUGACGGGGGCCCGCACAAGCGGUGGAGCAUGUGGUUUAAUUCGAAGCAACGCGAAGAACCUUACCAGGUCUUGACAUCCUUUGACCAUUUAAGAGAUAGAGCUUCCCCUUCGGGGGCAAAGUGACAGGUGGUGCAUGGUGGUCGUCAG
rnacentral:rRNA from 1 species